rnacentral:rRNA from 1 species
GAUGAACGCUGGCGGCGUGCCUAAUACAUGCAAGUCGAGCGAACAGACGAGGAGCUUGCUCCUCUGACGUUAGCGGCGGACGGGUGAGUAACACGUGGAUAACCUACCUAUAAGACUGGGAUAACUUCGGGAAACCGGAGCUAAUACCGGAUAAUAUAUUGAACCGCAUGGUUCAAUAGUGAAAGACGGUUUUGCUGUCACUUAUAGAUGGAUCCGCGCCGCAUUAGCUAGUUGGUAAGGUAACGGCUUACCAAGGCAACGAUGCGUAGCCGACCUGAGAGGGUGAUCGGCCACACUGGAACUGGGACACGGUCCAGACUCCUACGGGAGGCAGCAGUAGGGAAUCUUCCGCAAUGGGCGAAAGCCGGACGGAGCAACGCCGCGUGAGUGAUGAAGGUCUUCGGAUCGUAAAACUCUGUUAUUAGGGAAGAACAAAUGUGUAAGUAACUAUGCACGUCUUGACGGUACCUAAUCAGAAAGCCACGGCUAACUACGUG